rnacentral:tRNA from 3 species
GUCGGGAUAGCUCAGUUGGUAGAGCAGAGGACUGAAAAUUCUCGUGUCA